rnacentral:rRNA from 1 species
AUUGAACGCUGGCGGCAUGCCUUACACAUGCAAGUCGAACGAUAACAGGUCUUCGGAUGCUGACGAGUGGCGAACGGGUGAGUAAUACAUCGGAACGUGCCCGAUCGUGGGGGAUAACGGAGCGAAAGCUUUGCUAAUACCGCAUACGAUCUACGGAUGAAAGCAGGGGACCGCAAGGCCUUGCGCGGACGGAGCGGCCGAUGGCAGAUUAGGUAGUUGGUGGGAUAAAAGCUUACCAAGCCGACGAUCUGUAGCUGGUCUGAGAGGACGACCAGCCACACUGGGACUGAGACACGGCCCAGACUCCUACGGGAGGCAGCAGUGGGGAAUUUUGGACAAUGGGCGAAAGCCUGAUCCAGCCAUGCCGCGUGCAGGAUGAAGGCCUUCGGGUUGUAAACUGCUUUUGUACGGAACGAAAAGACUCUUUCUAAUAAAUAGGGUCCAUGACGGUACCGUAAGAAUAAGCACCGGCUAACUACGUG